GAUGAACGCUGGCGGCGUGCCUAAUACAUGCAAGUCGAGCGAACGGACGAGAAGCUUGCUUCUCUGAUGUUAGCGGCGGACGGGUGAGUAACACGUGGAUAACCUACCUAUAAGACUGGGAUAACUUCGGGAAACCGGAGCUAAUACCGGAUAAUAUUUUGAACCGCAUGGUUCAAAAGUGAAAGACGGUCUUGCUGUCACUUAUAGAUGGAUCCGCGCUGCAUUAGCUAGUUGGUAAGGUAACGGCUUACCAAGGCAACGAUGCAUAGCCGACCUGAGAGGGUGAUCGGCCACACGGGAGCGGAGACACGGUCAAGACUCCUAAGGGAGGCAGCAGUAGGGAAUCUUACGCAAUGGGCGAAAGCAUGACGGAGCAACGCCGCGUGAGUGAUGAAGGUCUUCGGAUCGUAAAACUCUGUUAUUAGGGAAGAACAUAUGUGUAAGUAACUGUGCACAUCUUGACGGUACCUAAUCAGAAAGCCACGGCUAACUACGUG
rnacentral:rRNA from 1 species